AUGGUCAAAGAGAUCGCCCUUGAGCUGUUCCGUGAGUUCGCUAGGGGAACACUGGACGUAUCCCGUCUUAAUUACGGGAUUAUCUCCUUAAUUCCCAAGGUCCCAGGUGCGGCGGACAUUAGGCAAUUCCGCCCUAUCACAGUCCUCAAUGUGAUAUUUAGAAUUCUGGCCAAAGGGUACGCCUCUAGGGCGGCCCUUAUCGCACCUCGGAUUCAUCACCCCAACCAAUCGGCCUUCACGAAAGGCCGAUUUAUUCUCGAUGGGGUCCUUGUCCUCCAUGAGGUGAUUCAUGAGGUCAAGACGAAACACCUCCCCGCGGUGUUCUUCAAAAUCGACUUCCAUAAAGCUUAUGACACAGUCCACUGGUCGUUCCUUCGGGAAGUGUUG
rnacentral:rRNA from 1 species